GUUAUUCUCAGUCAAUAGGCAAUGCACAACUCGACAUUGCAUAAAUACACGUUUAUAAUCAAUUUCCUGGCAGCUGCCCAGUCAAACGGUACAAACGGAGGAACAGUCUCCAUAUUCCCCGAUUCCAAGUCGUGAAAACUGUUACCCUAAACCUGAUGGUUCCUGCUGCGGUGAUUGGCAAAGGCUCCUCUGACAGAACACACAGACUCUCCAGCCUGCACGAGGAAACCAGGGCCACCCCAAGCAGCAGGUCCCCCGCAUUUCACUCAGCAGAUCUACAGCUUUCAGAUGCAGACAUCUCUAUCGUUAUCCAUGCCUUGUUCACUUCAACAGUGAGUGACUGCAGUGCUCAUUUUAUGGGGCUACACCUAUAAACAUCACCAGCUUAGCUGUGCUUCUCGCUGGAAAACCAUCACACCGGCACACUGGAGCAAUUCAAAGUAUUCAAAGCUGUAAAUGGUUUGAUAUCUUCUUGGCUUAAUAACUACCUCUCACCUUAUGUGAUACCUUGGCAGUUAAGCUCAGCCAAGACACAUGCUAACAGCCCCCUGGUUUUAAGGGGAGAGAGAUGGCAUCAGGGCAUUUUCAAUGAGGGGCAGUUGAUGCUAGAACUCACUUCCCCUGUGGUCUGACAGAUUCCAAAUCUGUCAACCUACAAGGCCUGUCUGUUCUCCUAGAUGGUAAGAGGAUGUAGGUAUACUAAAGGGUAUGAUAGCCUGGUUGAGUGAGGAAUAAUUAACAAUUAAAAUUGGUUACUUCUGUCAUUUUUUACAGCUGCUUUUAUAUUGUCUAUGUGACUGGAGCAAGAGAAAAGUACAUUUUACAAAUAACAUUACAUGUACAGUAAUUCCCUGCCUCACAGGAUGCUGAUACCUGUUAUUCAUAAGUCAUUCGAGACUGGAGAGGGAAAGGCACUGUACCAGUGAAAAAUAUUACUACUGUUGUAUUUCUUUACUGAAAUGAACACACAAGAGUAUCCUCCAUAUUCCCACAACAUCUGGCCGGACUUCUAAGAGAACAACAUGGAUGGAUCCAUACAAAGCCCCAUUGAAAUCACUAGGGCUCUUCAUAGAUGCAGGAGUCGGCUGGUGUGCAACAAGUCACAGGAUGAGGGCCACAGUUGCCAAUCCUGCAACUAAUUAUGCACAUGAGUAACUUUAUACAUGGGAGUAGUCCCACUGAUUUUUACGGGGCUAUUCACAUGCAUAAAGUUACUUUUAUGCUUAAGUGUUUGCAGGACCAGGCCUACAGUGAGUACAAUAAAAUAAACAAUUUAUUUUAUGCCACUGUAUCUAGUGAAGUCUAGUCUUGUCCAUAAACCAGUUCUUCUUCAUCAGUGCUCAGACUGGGAAACUUCCAAAUCCAAUUAAUUGGGUAGAGUGAGGACAUUUCUUAUUUCCUUCGACAUGUGGCACAUCAAAUUACUUAGGAGCAUGCAUAAAUGUCUGUGAGAAGGAGUUGUCAUCUUCUGGAGGGAUAGUCAACAUCAUCAACCUUGGAUCCAGAACUGAAUGUUCUUCCUUUACCAGCAGAUCAUUCACCAUUAGUUGAAAAAUGGGCAAGCAUUGAACUUCUCCAACUUGCUUUUUACAUAUCCCAAACUUAGUAAAGAGCAGAAAUACUGUGUAUCCCUGACCCUGCCAAUGCUUGUCUAUACAGAUCUAGACAUCCUACAGAGUUUACUGAUGGAGUGCACAUCAUACGAAAGAAAAUCCUAGUGUGUCAGGCAAUGCUCUGAAAAGAUAGAGUGUAGAGAUUGGCUCUUCUGCCCUUUCCUCUGAAAUCUCUGUUUUUUCAACUGGAAAAAGAAUAAUGAUAAUAAUUUAAAAAAAAACCUCUAAAAUAUACAGAGUUAGAAGCAUGUAAGUAAAAUACAUAUGUGCCCAAUCAUUGUGGUGAUAUAUUACUUUGCCUAAUCAUUAACUGGAAAUGCCAUAUAAGAAUUUGUA